rnacentral:rRNA from 1 species
GUGCCAGCCGCCGCGGUAAUACGGAGGGAGGGAGCGUUAAUCAGAAUUACUGGGCGUAAAGAGCACGAAGGCGGUUUUUUAAGUCAGAUGUGAAAUACCUAAGCUUAACUUAGGAAUUGCAUUUGAAACUAAAUUUCUUUAGUUUUGUAGAGGGAGGUAGAAUUCUAGGUGUAGCGGUGAAAUGCGUAGAUAUCUAGAGGAAUACCAGUGGCGAAGGCGACCCCCUGGACAAAGACUGACACUCAUGUACGAAAGCGUGGGGAGCAAACAGGAUUAGAUACCCUGGUAGUCCAUGCUGUAAACAAUGUCAAUUUGAAGGUUGUAGCCUUGAGUUAUAGCUUUCGUAGCUAACGCGUUAAAUUGACCGCCUGCGGAGUACGGCCGCAAGGUUAAAACUCAAAUGAAAUUGACGGGGGCCCGCACAAGCGGUGGAAGCUUGUGGUUUAAUUCGAUGCAACGCGAAAAAACCUUACCUAUUCUUGACAUCCAAAAGAAUUAAAACAGAAAAUGUUUUAGUGCCUUAGGGAAACUUUGAAACAGGUGCUGCAUGGGUUGUCGGCCUGAUCGUGUUGAGAAAAGGUUGGGUUAAGUCCCGCAACGGAGCGUAACCCCCUAUUCCUUUGGUUGCAAUUCAAGAAAGGUGGGAAACUCAAAAGUUGACCUGCUGGGUGGAGAAACCGGAAGGAAGUGGUGGGCCCUCGUCAAGUCCUUCCCGGCCCGCUUUCGAGUG